GCUGGGCACAGUGGUGUAUGCCUGUAAUCCCAGCAGCUUGGGAGGCCGAGGCAGGAGAAUUGCAAAUUCAAGGCCAGCUUCAGCAACCUAGCAAAAUCUUGUCUCAA
rnacentral:sRNA from 1 species